rnacentral:rRNA from 1 species
GACAGAGGUGCCGAGCGUUAGGCGGAAUCACUGGGCUUAAAGCGUGUGUAGGCGGGCCGUUAAGUAUCUUGUGAAAUCCCCCGGCUCAACCGGGGAAUGGCUGGAUAUACCGGCGGUCUUGAGCGAUCUAGGGGCAGAUGGAACAAGUGGUGGAGCGGUGAAAUGCGUAGAUAUCACUUGGAACGCCAAAGGUGAAAACAGUCUGCUGGGGAUCUGCUGACGCUGAGACACGAAAGCCAGGGGAGCGAACGGG